UUAGAGUGAAGAGGCUUUCUCCUGGUAACUUUUUCAAACAAAUCAUACUUGUUCAGUCUUUUUCUAAUUGUACUGUCAAGAACUUUAAUAUUUAACAUGCUAACUGGCCCCAGUAGCGUUUGAGAUGUAACUCUUAGAGGUUUGUGUGUUUUUUUUGUAAUUUCUCUGAGCUUUGCAGUCUGAGCAAUUGCACGUGGGGUGAAUUUGAUUGGAUGUCCACUCCUGGGAAGACUGUCUGGAAUGUUUUCCACUUGUGAAUAAUCAUCCUCACUAUAGAAUGAUGAACUUUAAAUUGUUUGGAAAUGGCCUUAUAACCCUUCCCAGAUAGAUGGGCAGCAGCAUUUGCUUCUCUACAAUAAUUGCUGAUAUGUUUCCUCCUUGGCAUUGUGUUAAUACACACUUGAAUUAUCCACACCAGCAAACUGCUAAAACUUUGGCUUUUAUACAGGUGGGCACACUGGGCUUUUACAGUGAGCCUUCUACAGCUGAGUCACCUUAUCUUUAUGGUGACUCUUCACUAUUUUUUUAAUGUCUGCUGUUGUGGAUAUUCUUUUAAUAAUUACUUUGUUGAUAACUGCUUUUCAAAAUAAAGACUUUUCAAUGCAAUUUGCAGAAUUAAUAAAAUAAUACUAAUAAAACAUUAAAGUUGAAUUGCUUAACUGUUGGUUCUUAUUCAAACUGUAAGUUGUCUUGGGAAAAAUAUUUUGAAACAUUGGUUAUAAAUGGUUGCAAUUAUUAUUAUUAUUUUGCCUGUUGAAUAAAUAUUUUGACCACUUAUUCUGAUGCCUUUUAUAACAGGAUGGUAAAACCCCCAAACAGUGUGCCAAGGAAGGUCAUUGCAAAGAUUUCGUGAUUGCAUUUUAUGAAUGCAAAAGAUCAUUGUUGGACAACACCAAAAGAUUCAAAGGAAGAAAGGGGUAUUGACUCUCCCUAUAAAGAAACAGUGAAUGUGGGCAAUCUUGGAUGUCUUGGCACCUCAAGAUUAAAGGAAUGGAAGAAAGUACGAUGUGCCCACAAACUCUUUCCUUCUAUGGGAACUGUUUUGCUUUUUCAUGAAAUGUCUGAAGCUACUGAAUACUGGAAGUACUACAAUGAAGAUGGACAACUUGUAGCA
rnacentral:lncRNA from 1 species